UACGUAGGGUGCAGGCGUUAAUCGGAAUUACUGGGCGUAAAGCGUGCGCAGGCGGCUUCUUAAGUCAGAUGUGAAAUCCCCGGGCUUAACCUGGGAACUGCGUUUGAAACUGGGAAGCUAGAGUGUGGCAGAGGGGGGUGGAAUUCCACGUGUAGCAGUGAAAUGCGUAGAUAUGUGGAGGAACACCGAUGGCGAAGGCAGCCCCCUGGGCCUGCACUGACGCUCAUGCACGAAAGCGUGGGGAGCAAACAGG
rnacentral:rRNA from 1 species